GAGAAACUGGCAGCUGUGCAACCGGUUGGCUGAGGAAAGACACCACUCCUCCCACCUUAUGUACCAGUAUGGAUCCCUCCAAGUUCACGGGACAUGAAAGCAACGGUUCAGCUUAAAGCCAUUGACACAGAAGAAGAAAUUUGGACACACAAAAAGAGACACCAGGGGUAUGAGUACACACAAGAAAUCCUGAAGACCAUGUGAGGACACAAUGAGGAGACAGCUGUCUGCAAGCCAGGGAACAGGCCCCAGAAGAAACCGGACCUGUCGACACCUUGAUCUUGAACUUCCACCCUCUAGAUCUUGAAAAUUCCUCAAGGAGAUGAUCCAAUUGGCUUGG
rnacentral:lncRNA from 1 species